GGAGACAAUUUCUUUUUAUCAUGUUAUGAGCCUGCCUUCAGUAACUGUGAGCAUUGUUCAUUUUGUAAAAUUUGUUAUUUUGUGUUUAUGUUAUUUUUGUUAUAUUCUGUUACUUCUUUUCAUGUUCUGUUUUUUUUAUGGUACUAGUUUGUUUCUUCAAGUAUGUUUUUUUUACCUACUGAUCCAGAUUUAAAAGAGGAGGGUUUGAGAAUGCAAAUACUAGCUUACCCAUGUUAUAUUUGUGACUUUCCAAGUCAUGCACAUUGUCAGAAAUUUUAUUUUGUUGUAUCUUAUUUUAUUCUAUUUGUUUUUUAGGGAAUUGAGUGUUAAUGGCAGAUCUAUAAUUUUUUUUGAUAAAUGGAAGUUUAUGCACAACUUUUAUUAACUCAAGACAACUUAUAGCUGGACUGUUUGUUAUUGAAGCUAUAUGUUGCCUUUUAGAUGUCUUUAGAUUUUUCCUUGUUGGGUUGUUGUCACAUAGACAAAUACCACACAUCUCCUAUUAUUUAUGAAAUGUCUUCUCUGCUUUUUUAAAUAGUACAUGCAACAUCAAAAUUGACUUUGUGUCUAUAUUUCUUUAUAGAUGUGUCUUUUAUGUAAAUGAUGUAAGCAACAAUAGGUCACGGUAAGGCAUUUAACAAUCAGUUAACACCAUAC
rnacentral:lncRNA from 1 species